GCCUGCUGUGUGGGUGCUGUGUCUCAUCAUGUUGGCAAGGUGGUGAGAAGAAACAGCUUGAAGACCCUCGAGAACAAAAAUCUCCAUUUACUUGCACUUACAAACUCUUACCUGCUUUACCAAGGCAUCCUACAUCUGCCAAGAGGAGUUUGUUCUGGAAAAAGGAAAGAUCUGCUGUGAGAUUACAGUGAGGCAUCUGACUUCUAAGGACCGAAAAUAAGAG